UCUCUCUCUCUCUCUCUCUCUCUCUCUCUCUCUCUCUCUCUCUCUCUCUCUCUCUCUCUCUGUCUCUCGCCGUGUGGCUCACAUAACGACAAAAACACUUUUUAUUUUGAAUGAAAUGUUUUGGGUAAGUUUCUGCAUUCUGCAGACAUGCAAUAGAGUUCUGAUGUUCCAGCAAACAGUUGUGACUAUUGAACGUACAGUUUAGAGGAUGUUAAGACUGUUUUGUGCCAACGCGAUUGAGAACAAGUGUAAUUAUCAUUUUAUACACAGUAUAUUUUAAAAAGCUGAUUACUUUGUAAUUUGACUGAAUUAUACAUAAAUGUGUGACAGUGCAGUGACAAAAGAAAAUCUUGUUCAGAUUAGACAACAAUAUGAGGGUGGGGAAAUUAUUUUUGACUGAACUAAUUGUUUGAAAUUGUUUUUAUUUGAACACACAUUGUAAAGAAAUCUUGGAAUAAUAGUUCUAAAUGUUUUUGUUUUACCUUUUUAUAGAUGGGUAGCAAAAUGCCUCCAGCACCAGAAGAUUUGCCAUUACAUUCAAGAAACCACCUUCCUCCUACAAUUUCAUCUGGAACCUCAGCAAAUCCAAAAGAUGUUCAUGCUUUAAUACACAGGGUAAAGGGUGUAGAAGAUCUUUUGGCUGUGUUCAUGGAUAGCAGCAUAAUUCAAUCUACUCUGAAGAUGGAAUUUGUAAAUGAGAAUGCUGUAGAUGAUGCAGGAGUGUACAGAGAAGUUUGCACUGCAUUCUGGGAUCAGUUCCUUGAACAAUGUGAAGGGGAAGAUGAGCGUGUUCCUAGACUGAGACCAGACUUCUGUGAAGCUGAAUGGGAGGCAGUAGGAAGGAUCUGGGUAAAAGGAUUACUUGACCUUGGUGUUCUGCCACUGAGGCUUUCCAGUGCUUUCAUUUUAGCAUGCAUGCAUGGAAUUGACUCAGUCAGUGAUGAUGUCCUGAUGUCAUCGUUCCACAACUACCUCUCUCUGACUGAACGAUCUGCCAUUGCAAAGGCUCAUCAUCGCCCACUGGAGGAAUGUGAUGAAGAGGAUUUGCUUUACCUCUUGAGAAGAAAGGGCUCUCAUUGCAUCCCUCCAAAAAACACCAUGGAAGUUGUCAUCCAAACGAUGGCUCAUAAAGUAAUUCUUCAAGAUCCCAAAUAUAUAAUAGAAUAUAUAUUCCUUGCGCAGAAACCCCCACCAGUACUCCAUCCUUCGGUUGGCCGUACUUGCAUCAUCCAAAUAGCUGUCAAGAGUUUCAUCUGCAUGAUUGAUGUAAAGGAAACGCUGAUCCCCCCUAACAACUCUUGGGCAUCCUCCCAAACGCUCCACCGCUUCAAUAUAGUAAAUGCCUAUUAGCUUUGGAUCGCUACUAGUUGUGUAUGCAUUAAGCCAGAUAAUCUUCCUCGAAAAGCCAUCAAUGCAACCAUUAAUACAAAUGCCAUAUGGUUUUAACUUAUCGUAUGAGUCCAAAUGCCAAAUCAUGUUGGGUCCCUUAGAAAAGUAGUUGUGCCGUCUGAGACGUCUGGCUCUCCUCACUGUAACUCCUGUAGGGUCCAGUUCCUUCAGCACCAAGCGCACAUCCUCUUGUCUCACACACAGACCCUUCUCUCUGCAUCUGGCGUACAUCUAUCGGUACCCAUGAGGUUGCCUAGAGGACUGCAGCUGACUACGGAUGCAUGAAGGAAAAAUCGGAAGUAAACAAACACUCUCGUGGCCGCGAGUACAGGGCGUUGCACAGCUCAGUGAAGCACUCUUCCUCACCAUGUUAUACAUCUACCUCAACUACGAGCUCCAGCAGCCAAAUUCCUGAAGCCCCAACCAAAGAGCGGCCUGAGUGGAGGAAGAGCCAGAGUAAAGAGUCUAAACGUCCAGCAUCCUGCUACUGCCACGCUGCCAUCUUGGAUUACUCAGUGACCGAGAGAAGAUUUGAACAGGCCGACGUUGGCAGCCGAGAGAGAAAGGAGUUAUUGAAGACGGGGCACAGGAAGUCAAAUGAAGAGCGUAUCUCGGAAUGGAAACCCCAAAAAAUCUAGUCAUAUAUUUAUUAAUUAGAAAACUUGGUUCAGGCUCUGGGGUUCCCGACGCUGCUGGUUCCCUGGGUGGUUCUACAGGAGCUGGACUCGUUAAAAAGCAGGAAACUGUCAAAGGCCAGCUGUGGACUACAUCUACACCUUCCUGAAGAACCAGGAGCCGCGUCUCUGGAGCCAGUCCAUGCAGCAAGUGUCUCACGCUGACUGCAGGCUGAACGUGGAGGAUAAUGACGAUCUGGUGCUGCAGUGCUGUCUCCAGUACAAGACGUUGUAUCCAGGGGGCACUAUCAUGCUGUGCACG